UGGAAGUAGCAUAUACUAUGCAGACUCCGUGAAGGGCCGAUUCACCAUCUCCAGAGACAACGCCAAGAACACGCUGUAUCUGCAGAUGAACAGUCUGAAGACCGAGGACACGGCCACAUAUUACUGUGCAAGAGACAUGAAACUUGAAGCUUAUAGGGACACUG